AAAUAAUACCCCACUGAACCUUCCUUUAUUUUUUUGAGAAGUAGUUUGCAGAAGUAUAAUCUGUGUAGAUGAAAAGGGCUGUGGCACUGUUCUUAUGGACCAUAGGAUUUCCAUAGUUUUUUUUUAAUCACACUAUUUAGAAUUUAAUGUAACAUACUGGCAGAGCCCGGGGAUACGGGGAUUGCAUUACAAUGCUCGUCAUAGCUCUUUGCUAGUGUAAGUACCAGCACUUCAGAUGAUUCAUUCCAUGUUUCAGUGUGAUUUAGAGCAGACAAGACUUGAAUAUUGUCGAGCUGAUAAAGAGCUCACACAUCUG